AACGAACGCUGGCGGCAUGCCUAACACAUGCAAGUCGAACGAGACCUUCGGGUCUAGUGGCGCACGGGUGCGUAACGCGUGGGAACCUGCCCUUAGGUUCGGAAUAACUCCCCGAAAGGGGUGCUAAUACCGGAUAAUGUCUUCGGACCAAAGAUUUAUCGCCUUUGGAUGGGCCCGCGUUGGAUUAGCUAGUUGGUAGGGUAAAAGCCUACCAAGGCGACGAUCCAUAGCUGGUCUGAGAGGAUGAUCAGCCACAUUGGGACUGAGACACGGCCCAGACUCCUACGGGAAGCAGCAGUGGGGAAUAUUGGACAAUGGGCGAAAGCCUGAUCCAGCAAUGCCGCGUGAGUGAUGAAGGCCUUAGGGUUGUAAAGCUCUUUUACCCGGGAUGAUAAUGACAGUACCGGGAGAAUAAGCUCCGGCUAACUCCGUG
rnacentral:rRNA from 1 species